rnacentral:rRNA from 1 species
UGAAACCAGAUAUGACUUAGUGGCGGACGGGUGAGUAACACGUGAGCAACCUGCCUUUCAGAGGGGGAUAACGGCUGGAAACGGUCGCUAAUACCGCAUGACGUGUUCGGAUGGCAUCAUCUGAACAUCAAAGAUUUAUCGCUGAAAGAUGAGCUCGCGUCUGAUUAGUUAGUUGGUGGGGUAACGGCCUACCAAGACGACGAUCAGUAGCCGGACUGAGAGGGUGAUCGGCCACAUUGGGACUGAGACACGGCCCAAACUCC